ensembl:lncRNA
AUCACCCAAGUUAGUCUCCUUAUUGUCAGUCAGGGAAACUGAGGCCUAGAGAGGAGAAAAGACAGGCCAAAGUCACAUAGAGGGUUAGGGGGUCCCCAAACCCAGGUCUCUAACUCCAGUGCAUUCUAGUUCUUUCCACUUAAUCUAGGCCCCAACUAUCCCCCACUUAACAAACACCAGAGUCUAAAGACUUGCAACCCCUCAGUGCCUGGCACAGUGCUGGGCCCAGAGAAGGACACCUUCCCUGUUGCCACUGGGCUGCUGGCCACAAUAAUCAGAUUGAUAGAGCUCAUUCGUGCUCUUUCCACUGUCCCAUUUAAUUCCUACAACCAUCCCAGGGGACUGGAAUUACUACUCUUUUUUACAGAUGGGGGAAGGAGGCUCAGAGAGGAGAAGGGGUUUGCCCAGAGUCACACAGCUCAAAUGCAGCAGAGGAGCAUCCUGACUCCCCAUCCUGUAUCUGAUCUAAGACACCUCACACAGCCUUGAAUGUUCUGGCCCCCUGCUGACCCUGUGCUGUUGAAGUCGGGGCCUGUGGACAGGUGAGGAAGCUGAGGCAUUGAGGUGUGAGAGGUCUCACUGCUAAAUGCUGGGAAACGGCAGAUCCAGGAUUUGAAACGAGGCAGUCUGCUCUCAACGGCUCCACCAAGGAAAAGGAAGAGGGAGCAGGUGCUGGGGGCAGGAGGGGAGAUGUGAGGGGGAGCGACCAGAGGAGAUGGUGUUGGCUGAGGGAGGAGGGGCCGGUGCUGGGUGCUGGGGCUGGGGAGCAGCCAGGGUCCCAGCAGGAAGUCCUGCAAAAUAUGGGGGGCUAUGGACAAGUUUUGAGCAAGGGAGUGACAUGGACAUGCUUGUUCUAGAAAGGUACCCUCCUUUAAAGUGGUGAUCACAAGUGAAAUGUGAUUUUAUUUCAAUGUUUUAUUUUUACUGGUUUCCUAGGGCUACUGUCACAAAGUACUGCAAGCCAGGUGGCUUAAGAUAACAGAAAUUUAUCUUCUGACGGUUCUGGAGGUUAGAGGAUGGGAAUCCAGGUGUCGACAGGGCCAUGUUGGCCAAGACUCUGGGUGGCAUCCUCUCGCCUCUCCUAGCUUCUGGUGGUGGCCGUCCGUCCUUGGUGGUCCUUGGUUUUCAGCCACAUCCCUCCCACCUCUGCCUCUGUCAUCACUUGGCUCCUCCUUGUGUGUCUCUCCCUCUUCUUACAAGGACAUCAGUCGUGUUGGAUUAAGGGCCCCCCUACUGCCCUCGACCUCUUCACUAGUUAUAUCUGUGAUGAUCUUCUUCCCAAAUAAGGUCACAUUCUGAGGUGCUAGAGGUUAGGACUUCAACAUACCUUUUUAGGGGACACAAUUCAACCCAUAAUAGAUGUCAUUAAAGUGUUCGUCAUAUAGAUAAACCUCAAAUCUGAAAAAAUCCUAUGCAGAUCACUGGGCCCAGUUUGAGAUUCAGAAAAUAUGGCCUCAGUGUAUCCGUCCCCCACACUGAUACUUUGCCCUAGUGAGUACUAAAUAAAUGUUUGAGGAAUAUUUAACUUGUGGUCCCCUAAGGCCUUCAGGUCUUUCUUUAACAAGUUAGAGAACUAGAAUAAAAGUCCCCAGAGAACAAAGUCAAGCUGCCCUCUGUCCUGGAUUCCUGGCAGGCGGCUGCGCCAUGGACCUGGGUACCUCCUUCCCCUCCUGCCUGGACACCGGCUUGGGGAAUAGUCAUGAGAAGGAUAGAGAGGAGAGGUCUCAGCUCCUCUCCUCCCUGGAUUGAGCAGAACCCACUGUUCUCAGUCCUCUCCCUUGCUUCCCCAUCCAAGCAGGCUCAGACUGCUCCAUUCAGAUGAGUGUCCAUGCUCUGUCCCACCUCCUCGACCUGGUCAGGCCUUGUCUUUACCACUGGGACUAUUCCCCUAGGCUUUCAACUGAUGUCCCUGCCGCCAGCAGCCCAUUGGGUCACCCUAAAUGUGAAUCUGAUGACUGUUCUGACAUAAAACCUUCCAUGGCUCCCUAUUGCUUGCAGAACGAAGUCCAGAUUCCUUAGCCUAAGUUUCAGGCCUGUCCAAGUUGGUCCCCAGGUAGCCAUCCAGGCUUGUUUUUCACUAUUUUCCCACAUGUGCUCUAUCCUACAGGCAGUGGAGGUUCCAGAAUUUCCAUUUAAAGAGACUGGGUGUGGGGUGCAUUCUGGUCAGAAGGGGACACAGCACGAGGCUUGUCUUGCCGCUGUCUUUAUAAGCAAGAACGCCUGAGCAUGGCUGUGCUUUCCUCUUGUCUGCAUCUGCUCCUUGGCAUACGCCGUUCCCUCUACGUGGAACGCUCUCCACAUCUCCAUUUUUCAGCAUCUGACCCGAAGGACAUCCUCAGUCACAUCACUGGAAGGGUCUCUCCCUGCUCCAGAUACUGAGGAUUCCAGCCGAGCUUCCUUACGAAUCUGAUUCCAGUCCUCCUGGUGUUGACCAGAGGAGGCCCCUGCUCCCCUUAGAGCUGGGUUCCACCCCAGGCCUGCGGCUGAGUGGUAGGAAGAACAAGGUGGGAAAGUGCCAGAACAGAGACCUGGCUGUUCAUCCACUUUGCCACGGUCGCGCUGCAUGACCUUGGGCAAGUCACUUUCCCUCCAUGGGCCUCCGUUUCCUCUCUGUAGAGUGGGAUGUGGGGAAAGACAAACAGGCAGGGUGAAAGCAUGAGCUAAGUUUCUCUCUCUACCCUAUGUCUGGCCAGACUUUGGUCCUGUGAACAGGAGCUGCUGGGGUCCUUUGGUUUUGUGUUAAUUUGCAUAUAUUUGCAUAUGUGCUAUAAGAGGCGCCGACUACAUUUCAUUCAUAGAAAGAAUUGACACUGUCCUCUAAUUGAUGUCCAGGGGUGGAAAAGACUCACUGUUCAUGGUUCCACCCAAAUCUUAGCAGUCAGGAGUCUAGUAAUUAACCCUCCAACCCCCUCCUUCUACAGAUGACUAACUGAGGCUCAGAGAGGGAAAGUGAUGAGCCCAAGGUCACAUAGCAAGUGGGAGCACCGGGCUUCCUCCCAGGCUUCCCACUGUCUGCCAGGGAAUUGCAUGAGGCACCUCAUUUCUCAUUCCAUGCAGGGUGGGAGAAGGUGCAAGAAGGGGGGCUUGGUUUUCUUUUGAGGCCCUCUCUUCACCCCAGAAUAACAAAACCUGCAGGCUUGGCGGCCUCCGCAACCACUACAGGAAACCAAAUCGUAGUAGAAGGCAGAUGGGAGUGGAAAAUCCUCUCAGAGAUGUUAGAUCGUUG